UGCUUUGUCAUGUCUUUGUCUGGCAAUGGCAUAUAACGGUGGUGAAAACCACUCUUCUUCAGAGAGCUUUCUUCCGGCACUUCUAGGCUAGUCCUCAGCUUGGCAUGACGAAAACUUUCUGCUACAGAACGAUUAUCGAUUAUUUGCAUUGAUAAUGGUUAUGGGAAACGGUUAAGUCAAUGGUUGUGUUGGAGCAAAGAAACGAGAGGCCGACUAUUGGGGUGAUGAUUUCAGAGCAACCCAAUGCGAUGGUGCCCAGGUCGCAGUCUCGUGGUGUUCACACCCGCUGUGAUCCCCUCCCUGAGUGUGGCCCAGGGACCCUGUUCUCACUAGCGGAAUUUGGUAAAGUGAUGAUGUGUACAUAAAUACAUCACAGAAGAUCGCAACUCCCGCCUUGCUAGGACACUCUCUCCCUUGCUGGCUUUGAGGAAGCCAGCUGCCAUGCUGUGGGCUGCCCUCUGGAGAGAGCCAUGAGGCAAGGAAGCGAGGGCAGCCCCCAGCCAACAGCCAGCGAAGACCUGAGGCCCUCAGUCAGACAGCCUGCAAGGAACGGAAAUUCCACCAAGGACCACAAGAGCUUGGAAGCGGAUCCUUGCCCAGUCGAGCUUCAGAGGAGACCACAGCCCUGGCCCACACCUGGAUCACGACCUUGCUGAGGACCCGAUUAGGCUUCGCCCAGACUCCUGACCCACAGAAACUGUGAGAUAAGUGUACAUUGUUGUAAACCACUCAGUUUAUCCUGAUUUGUUGCACAGCAACAGAGAAUAGUUUCUUUCUCAGGCUGUAAAGCAACAUAGAAUAGAAAAAGCCCGUUUGACGUGUUUUCAAAUCAGCUGCAGGCAAACAGAAAACGCUCACAGACCUGCACAUUCGCAUCUGUAAGAUCCCAGUGUGAUCAGGACAGUACUGGGGUUGCUCAGAUAUGUGAAAGGUUCUAGAAAAUCCUCUCCCUGGUGCAAGCCCGAAGGCAGAGUCGACGGGGCACUGGGGUGGCUCUCCAGGUCCCACGUGGGCCACUCCGGGCGCUGAGCACGUGGGGCACCGGGAGCCUCGGCGCCCUUGCCAUCACAGGCCAGUCCUAGAGGAGGAGAAGGAGCAGCCCCAGAAAGCGAGCCGGGGCAGAGCCACGUCCCGUCGCCCCUCAGGAGUGCGGCGCCCGGCUUCCUCUGCAACGAGUCUUUGGUGAAACAAAGUUCGCGAAAAGGCGCCUCUGUUUAGAAACAGGUUUCACGUGUGGCCGGAGGAGGAGGCUGGUGGCGAGAGGGGUUCUGGGACACGCUGGGCAGUGAGAGCUACUUACUUGGCCCGUGUCUCUAGAGAGGAGGACGGGGCGGGAUUAAAGGAGAAAGGGGGCUCCCUCCCCACCAUGGAAGGGCAUCCUGAAGCCGUGAGGCCCGUCAUGCUUUGAGGUUCUGGAACAGGAAAAGGGCCCGAAGUCUUCACCUUGAGGACUCGAUGCCGUCUGCGUGCUGCCUCCAAACAGCGAAAGUAAUCACGCACUUGACUCCCACUCUGCUUUUAUCGCACCAAGUUCAAAGGACUUUUAAAAGGGGGUCUGUGUCUUGACGGGUUUAGGAAAACUGGACUCUUGGGAUCAGCUGGCUCUAUUCUGGGCGCGGCUGCUUGCUAUUCUAGGUGACCUGGUGUGCCGUGGGAAGGGCUUGACGAUCUCUUGGAGCCUCUCCUGUUCAUGAAAUUUGAGGAGAGAGUGAGAAACGAGAGACACAGAGACACCCGUAACAUGUCUGGUUUCCCAAAAGCCUUUGAAGUAAUAACUCAGAGCAUUUUGGGCUGGGAGGAGGAGGCCGGGAAUGCUUGAUGGCGCCAACACAGGCGACAUGAGGAAGGCAUUUCCUGUUCUCUCGGUGGCUGUUACAGAGGUCCUUUAUUCACCAUGGAACGCCCACAAACGCAUGAGUAUACUUCAUGGCUCUCCUCGGUCCCUGACAGCUGAAUCUGAAGGACACGGGGACAAUGAAUACAAGGGUCCUGUAAUCAGUCACAGGCAGGUGGGCCAGAAUUUGGGCGACCACGUGCUUUGGUCCUGGCGCGCAGCCUUGGAUCUAAGGGUCAGAUGGUGGAUAUCUUACUCUUGUGCCAGAUGGCUCUGUAACAGCUGCUCAGCUCUGGUGGUGUUGCAUGAAAGCAGUCACAGACAACAUGUAAAUGGACAGGUGUGCCUGUGGCCAAUAAAACUAUAUUUCCACAACCGGGCUGUGGGCCAGAUGGUCUGGGGAGCCCGGGGCCAAGGGAUUGAAAAGAUGAAAUCUCCAUCUUUAGAGCAUCGACAAGUCUGACUCCUUCUGAGAAGCGGUGGCAGGGGCGCUGUGGACGGCCCAGAGAGCUUCUGUGCGGAACCGUGGCCAUCUGCUUACUGGUUAUCACAAAGAUCCAGAGGUUUGGAUUCAGGGCCCAUCAGUUACUAGUUCUGCGAUCUGGGACAGGUUGGUAACUACCGUAGGACUCAAUUUUAUCACGCAAAGUAGGAGAUAAUGACCCUUAAGCUCGGGCCGCAGAGGUUUCAGGGGCUAACGCGGGAAGGCACCUGGCGCGGAGCUGGCUCUGGGUCUAGGUCCCGCUCCUGCUGAGCCGACGUCUUUGGCUUAGCAAAUGGGCUUUCCCUUCCCACCGUGUGAGUUGGCUGAUGUUUAUCAAAGUUGAAAUGGGAAGAGCAGCACUUUUAAUUUUUGGCCGUCCCCAUGUGGGACGACUCUGCAUAAAGUGAGUGACUACGUCAGUUCAGAGCAGUGAACACUGUCUGCAGGAGAAACAGCCCCGAAGAAAAGAUCGUGCCCAGAAUGUCACCCUUAAGGCCAUCAUUAGGACUUGAAAAAAAUAUUUGGGAGGCAGUCUUGACAUAACUAUUAUACACAGACAGUUGAAAAGUGAAAUGGAGUGGGACGCCCCACCCGCAGCGCCCUCGGGCCAGACAGAGAUGGUUACUAAGAGAGUUCUGCUCCUUAAGAGGCGUGUCGUCCAACAGAAAUGUGCACUCUGGACAAUUUUUAAGAGGAUGUCUCUCCCUUUGUUGCUUCUGAGAUGAAUUCUAAUAAAACAUGGGGAUGCCAAGAUCAGAACUGCUUCCUUUGGGAGCAGAAAGCCUCGGCGCCAAGUCUGCUUGUGAAGUCCCGUCCCCAAAGGCCAUUUCUUCACGGCAUGCGCCUGUCCUGAUUCACCUGCGUUAAGGUGAUGUUUUCCAAGAGCAAACCCCAAGCACACGGAAUGAGCUCUGGAUGCCACACGACGGGGGCGUGGGACUCAGGUUUAGGGACCACAGAACUGCCCCCGACCCCAGCUGAGCCCCAUGGAAUAAACUCCUUCUCCUGCCGCCAGGAGCACCUGUGAACGCCACCCUCCGGAAAGGCGCCGCCCACAGAGCCGGCCCAGAUGAGGGAGGAGGCAAAGCACCUCUGAUGAGGGCAAUGACAGAAAAGGUGCAAAGUGAGGGGAACGGGAAGAAAGAGAGGGAAAUGUUGUCUGGUACACCAACACUUUCUAGAACCUUGGAACACAAUCUUAAAUCUCAAGCAAAACAUUUACAUCGGCCUUAUUUAUUGCUUACCCAAAUACACCACGUGCCCCUUGUUCAUUCAUUCGACACCUAGUUAUUGACUGGUCCUAGGUAUCGGGAUUGUUCUGAGCACCCGGGAGGCAGCGAUAAACACAACGGGCUGUCUGUGCUCCCUUGAGCUUGUGUUCUCGCGGGUUCAGGUCGGGCCAUCCUGGUUAGCCCAUUCUCUUGAGCAGGCUCCCAAUUCCUUACUUCAAGUUCCUGCUCUGUGAGGGCAGCACAUAGCAUCUUCUGGCCCAUGGCCCAGAUCUGGCACCUGCAGAGGACAUGGAAAGGCAGGUGGAUGGUGAAGAGGAUUAAUUAAAGGGAUGAUCCAUGGCUUUCUGUACGCAUGCUAGCCAGGUUAGAAUUAUUUACGUGGAUGCUUGGGACGUUCCUAUAAUUUAAGCACCACAUCACAGAGUAUCUUAAAGGACAGUUCUCAAUUUUAUUUUAUUUUUCCUCAUGCAAACACUAGGGUGUCUUGUGCUUAAACACCGUAAUUUUCAACAAACGAGCCCCUGCCACUGCUGUGUUGAACACCACCGUAAUUUACUUGUUAGAAUCAGGGAUAAUAACGAGUUCAUCUGAGUGGUAACAACAGCCUGGAAGAAAUGACUCUGAAAGAUGUGUUUAAGGGACCAGGCCGGGGAGGGAGGGGGACUGAGGGAUGUAACUAAAGGCAUUUGGAGGUGAAGUGGAGGGGGCGCUGGGGAGGAGGCUGGAUGGCUUCUGGAACUUUCGAGAGAGCGUGCAUUUUGUCAGAAGCUGAGCAUUUCCAGGUCCUUAGAAAUUACCUGGCAGCCCUCAUUUGACAGAGGGGACAAUCAGUCCAGAGAAGUUAAGUGACAAGGCCACAGAGCUUGUAAGGGCCGCCCUGGGGACAGAUCCCAGGUCUCCGGAUUCUUGGCCCAGUGCCCGUUCAGCUCAGUGGAAGAGUCCAUCACACUCAUCCGCUGUUUCACAGACUCCAACUGAGUCAACCAGUUUCCAGAAAAUCUGGCUAUUUUACGAAUCUCCACUGGGAGAAUUAAUGUAGCAUAUAUUUUGGGCAUAGCACAGUGGUUAAAGAAUUCAAAAUCGACUUAGUGAAAACUGACAGAUUUAUCUAUCUUUUCAUUUUUGGCUCUGCUCGGGGGGUUCUCUCUCGGUGCCAUCCUGCCCCCUAGGGGACACCUGGCAACGUCUGGAGAUACUUUGGGUGGUGACAUCUUGGGGCCGGUGGCGUUCACGGCAUCUAGUGAGCAGAGGCGGAUAUGCAGCUGAACAGAAGCAUCCUACAGGGCACAGGACACCCUCCGCCCUAAACAACGACCGGGCCCCUAACCCUCUCCCCACCCACUGGGCCGGGGCCUCCUCCCGGCAAGGGGACGCGCACAGCCACCUCCCGGGCAUCUUCGCGUCCUCGUCCCACCACUCCCACCACGGAGCCGCCCUGCUCCCCGCCUUCCGGCCCCUUCUGGCCUCUAGGGAGGGCUGUGAGCUCCCACCCUACAAAUGGGGAAACUGAGGCAGGGCGGGCACGGGACGCGGGUCUCGCCGCUCCGAAGGGAGGCGCGGGCCUGGAAGGCGGGGUCUCCUCCGGAGUCCCCGAGGGCGCCCAGCACGAAGCCGGCGCGUGGCGAGCGGCUCGUCUCUCCGGCGCACUCCCACCCGCCUCCCGACUCCGCGAGGUGCUGCGCGGCCAGGGCCCAGCCAAACGGCCUGCGCGGCGGGCCUCCCCGGCGCAUGCGCGCGCGCGGGGCACUGUGGGAGGCUGGCCGCGCGCCCUCAGCGCAACCUGACGCCGGCGCGGUUGUCAGGGCAACGGGGGGGGCGGGGCGGGAGCGAGGCCGCGUGGUCUCCACGUGUUUGUCAGCAGCCGUCCCCUAACUCAGGGAAGCUCCUCCCGCUGGUUCCUUGUUGUCCGUUGGUCCGUUCGCUUCCCGGUUGGACGGAAGCAGAUUUCCUGUCCCCGGGAGCACGUACAGUUGACUCAGUGACGGCCACAGGCGGGCGGAUGCCGCGAUUAGUGAUUAGGAGCCGGUGGAGACUGCCAGCGUCCAUCCUGCUGGCGAUCGCCUGUGCCUUUUCUUUCCUCUUUGCCUCUGAGUGCUUUGUAAUUUAACAGCGUCUGUAAUUUCUCUGAGUUCUCCGGCCAGAUCUCACUUUCGCCAAAUCACGGAUCUGAAUUUCGCAGCAGUGCCUGGGUGGUGACGACCUCCAUUAGGAAGCAUUCUCCACGUGACGAAGGAGUUCACAGCAGGAUUUCCUCGAACAGAAAACUGCCUCGGCGCACCGGCUUCACUUUAUAUAAAAUUCAUCUAGAUACAAGAUCCCCUCCCCCCCAUUUCUUUUUUGUGUGUAAACUGCUGUGUAUGGCUGUGCAGGCUGUGCCUGGCGGAGGGGCUGGGAUCUGAAUCCAGCCUAGGCUCUGUUCCUCUGUGCACUGGAGGACAGUGCACCUUCUAAUUGUCUAUCAGAGUGGGUGCCUUUUUCUGUUUGCGUGAAGUUUCUAAAUGUGCUGGCUACCUUCCUGCAUGUAUUUUUGUAAAUUGAGGUAACAUUGGUUUAUAACAUUAUAUAAAUUUCAGGUGUACAUCAUUAUAUUUCGAUUUUUGUGUAGUUUACAUCGUGUUCACCACCCAAAGGCUGGUUACCACCUGUCACCGUACACAUGUGCCCUAUUACCCCGUUUGCCCUCCCUGCACAUAAUAAUUUUACGGUAACCAGUUGCAUGACUUUGGGGUUUAUGGAACGCUUAUAACAAGGUUUUAUAGUGUGUCAUUCCAUUUUAUCCAGGCCAAGACUUUGUGUGGACCCAAGUCUUUGAUUAAAAUUAAACAUGGUGCGAAGAAGGUCGUGUAGGGUGAGGUGUCAGUUCCUUUUUCUGUGCUCCAUCAGGUUGUCCAGGAACCUAGAUUCCAUCCAUCUUCUUGCUCCUCUGUCUCCUAGGGGUUGUCCUUGCACGCAUGGUAGGAGCUUGCUUGCCUCCACUCCGAGUUCCAGCCUGCGGAAGGGGGAGGAGGAAGCCUAGGGCAAGUGGCUUUGUGUUUAAGCUCCCCCAGUACCUAGUUGUAUACUCUAUGAGUGCCUCUGGUUGUGGCAUGUGGGAUGCCAGCCACCUCAGGAUGGCCUGAUGAGCGAGGCCAUGUCUGCGCCCAGGAUCCCAACCAGCGAAACCCUGGGCCGAUGAAGUGGAGCCUGAACUUGACCCCUUGGCCACGGGCCCGGCCUGGAGCAUCUUUUGUUACAAUAUUCAGUCUUAGUCUCUGGUUCCCGGUAUAAGACCUUCAGAGACCUUUGGAAUCUCCAGAAUAAUAAGCAUGUCUUUGGGUCUUUGCAGAUGUCAUCAAGUUAAGAUGAGGUCAUUAAGGGAGGUUCUAAUCCCAUAUGACUGAUGUCCUUAUAAGAAGAGGCCACGUGAAGAUGGAGGCAGAGAGUGAAGCGAUGCAGCCACAAGUCAAGGACGCCAUCAGCUACUGGACAACAGAGAGGCAAGGGCGAUCCUCCUCUACGGCUUGGGAGGAGCACGGCCCUGCUGACACCUUGAUUUUGGACCCUUGGCCACCAGAACUGUGGGAGAAUAAAUACCUGCUGUUUUAAGCACCCCGUUUGUGGCACUUUGUUACGGCAGCCCAAGGAAAUGAAUACAACAGCAGAGUAAGGAAAUGAACGCAACAGCAGAGCGAGGAAAUGCGUGAACCCGGGCCCCGUGAUGGAGCGCAGCAGAGCGGAGCUGCACACGCACCUGGACCGCUCACCUGAGGACAGUUACCUGAGAGGGAGGCAGACCUUUACAUCCUUUAAACUGCUACGCUUUUUGGUCUCUGUUAUAGCAGCUUGUCUUUAUUUUUUUUUCUGAUUCUGUUAAUGAGCUUUCUAACACUGACGUUUCUAUCUCCCAGAAGCUGCCCUUUCUCUUUCCUCCUUCCUUGUCGGCUCGUUCCAUCUGUCUUAAGAAGGGACCUUUCUCCUCUCUUGGAGCAUCCCUUGUGUACCUCCCCGGCUUUGUGACUGACUGCUUUCGAGUGUUGCUUUCGAGGGAGAACUGUAGAAGUUGUGAGAGACGUCUGUGACAAAGUUGGCAUCCAGUAACGCCAACCGGAUUACCGGUUUGGGGGGCAGGUUUUGGAGAAAACAGCAUGAAUCAACCUCAAUUAUUUACUUACAGAAAAGUUGAAGGACAGUGCAGAGAGUUCUCGGAUGCCCCAGCCCAGCUUCCGCAGGUGUCAACAUCUUACAAACCAGAGCAAAGGCUGCAAAGCGAGGAAAUCAACCUCAGUGCAAGACGCUUGCGUAACCGCAGGCCUUUGUUAAGGAUUUACUGGGCUCUCCAAAAGUGUUCCCUGUUUGCUCCAGGAACCCAUCUGGACGCCGCCUUUCAUUCUGUCGUCACUAAUGACGCUCAGCGGCACUCAGCGUCCCCUCCGUCUGGGGCAGCGCCCGAGCCAGCCCUGGCCUCUCGCCGUCUGGACGUGCAGCGUGGCGCUGGGAGCGGAUGGCCGGGUCCGUGCAGAAGACCCUCCUGACAUUUCUCACAAUUGGAUUAGGAUAAUGCAUUCUUUUUUUUUUUUUUUUUUACAACUGCUUGUGCAAAUAUGGCCUUAGUUCCAUAUCUGGAAAAUCAAGUUUUUCAAAAAGUUGUGCUAAAAUAAAAUUCAUAAUAAUCUACACAGAAUUCGAAAUAUA
rnacentral:lncRNA from 1 species